rnacentral:rRNA from 1 species
UCAGGAUGAACGACUAGCGACAGGCGUUAACACAUGCAAGUCGAGGGGCAGCAUAAAAGUAGCAAUACUUGGUGGCGACCGGCGCACGGGUGAGUAACGCGUAUGCAACCUACCUAUCAGAGGGGAAUAACCCGGCGAAAGUCGGACUAAUACCGCAUAAAACAGGGACACCGCAUGGUGAUAUUUGUUAAAGAAAUUCGCUGAUAGAUGGGCAUGCGUUCCAUUAGGUAGUUGGUGAGGUAACGGCUCACCAAGCCGACGAUGGAUAGGGGAACUGAGAGGUUGGUCCCCCACACUGGUACUGAGACACGGACCAGACUCCUACGGGAGGCAGCAGUGAGGAAUAUUGGUCAAUGGGCGAGAGCCUGAACCAGCCAAGUCGCGUGAAGGAAGAAGGAUCUAUGGUUCGUAAACUUCUUUUGCAGGGGAAUAAAGUGCAGGACGUGUCCUGUUUUGUAUGUACCCUGAGAAUAAGGAUCGGCUAACUCCGUGCCAGCCGCCGC